rnacentral:rRNA from 1 species
CACCUACGGGAGGCUGCAGUAAACGAAUAUUGGGCAAUGGGCGAAAGCCUGACCCAGCAAUGCCGCGUGCAGGAGGAAGCCCUUCGGGGUGUAAACUGCUGUCAGGGUUCAGCAAGCGAAGAGAGUUAACAGCUCCCCUAGCUGAGCAUACCCAAAGGAAGCCUCGGCUAACUCUGUGCCAGCAGCCGCGGUAAUACAGAGGAGGCUAGCGUUGUUCGGAUUUACUGGGCUUAAAGAGCGCGUAGGCGGCUUGGUAAGCGUCCUGUGAAAGCCCACGGCUCAACCGUGGAAUCGCAGGGCGAACUGCCUGGCUUGAGGUCGUUAGGGGUGUCUGGAACUCUAGGUGGAGCGGUGAAAUGCGUAGAUAUCUAGAGGAACGCCAGCGGCGAAAGCGAGACACUGGGACGAUACUGACGCUGAGGCGCGAAAGCGUGGGGAGCAAACAGGAUUAGAUACCCUGGUAGUCCACGCCGUAAACGAUGCGCACUAGAUUUGGGGACUCUGACAGUCUCCGAGUCGAAGGGAAACCGAUAAGUGCGCCGCCUGGGGACUACGGCCGCAAGGCUAAAACUCAAAGGAAUUGACGGGGGCUCACACAAGCGGUGGAG